rnacentral:rRNA from 1 species
AUUGAACGCUGGCGGCAGGCCUAACACAUGCAAGUCGAACGAGUGGCGCACGGGUGUGUAAUGUCUGGGAACCUGCCUGAUGGAGGGGGAUAACUACUGGAAACGGUCGCAAAUACCGCAUACCAUCAGAUGUGCCCAGAUGGGCUUAGCUAGUUGGUGGGGUAACGGCUCAACAACGCGACGACCCCUAGCUGGUCUGAGAGGAUGACCAGCCACACUGGAACUGGGACACGGUCAAGACUCCUACGGGAGGCAGCAGUGGGGAAUAUUGCCCAAUGGGCGCAAGCCUGAUGCAGCCAUGCCGCGGGUAGGAAGAAGUCCUUCGGUUUUUAAAGUACUUUCAGCGGGGAGGCGUUACCCGCAGAAGAAGCACCGGCUAACUCCGUGCCAGCAGCCGCGGUAAUUC